CCCUUAGAUGUUCUGGGCCGCACGCGCGCUACACUGAUGCAUUCAACGAGUCUAAAACCUGCUCUGAUAGGGGUGGGUAAUCUUUUGAAUGUGCAUCGUGAUUGGGAUAGAUGAUUGAAAUUUUUCAUCUUCAACGAGGAAUGCCUAGUAAACGAAAGUCAUCAGCUUGCAUUGAUUACGUCCCUGCCCUUUGUACACACCGCCCGUCGCUCCUACCGAUUGAAUGAUCCGAUGAAUAUCAUGGAUUGAGGAUGCAAGUAGGUUCACCUAUCUUCAUCUUCGAGAAGUGAAGUAAAUCUUAUCAUUUAGAGGAAGGAGAAGUCGUAACA
rnacentral:rRNA from 1 species